ensembl:miRNA Mir1933 microRNA 1933
UCCUGCUCCCACAGUCAUGGUGUUUGGUCUUAGUUUGUGACCAGUUUAAUUUAACCAGGACCAUCUGUGUGAGUAUUGGAUUGGGACU